AAGGGCCCCGGAGUGAAGAUAGGCGUGGAAGACAUCAUCGUUUCCGCCUGCGACCACGGAUGUACUGGCGCGGCGUCGAAACGAGAGCGAAAGGUCGGGCUUGCCCGGCCUUUUUGUUU
rnacentral:sRNA from 1 species